UCGCCUGUUUUACAAAAACAUGUCUUUUAAAGAUAAUAAUUAAAGGUCAGGCCUGCCCAAUGAUUUUUAUUAAAUGGCCGCGGUAUUUUGACCGUGCUAAGGUAGCAUAAUCAUUAGUUUCUUAAUUGGAAGCUUGUAUGAAAGGUUUAAUGAAAAAAUAACUGUCUCAUUUUUAAUUUUUUGAAUUUUAUUUUUAAGUGAAAAAGCUUAAAUUUUUAUAGAAGACGAGAAGACCCUAUAGAGUUUUAUACAAAAAUUUUAAACGGGUUGUAAAGAAUUUAAAGUCUUUUAAAAUUUUUAUAUUUAAUUGGGGUGAUUAAAAAAUUUAGUAAACUUUUUUUUAUUUUUUACAAUAAUGUUUGGUUAAAUGAUCCUAUUUUUUAGAUUAUAAGAGAAAAUUACCUUAGGGAUAACAGCGUUAUUUUUUCUGAGAGUUCUAAUCGAAGAAAUAGUUUGCGACCUCGAUGUUGGGAUUAAAA
rnacentral:rRNA from 1 species